rnacentral:rRNA from 1 species
AAACCGGAGCUAAUACCGGAUAAUAUAUUGAACCGCAUGGUUCAAUAGUGAAAGACGGUUUUGCUGUCACUUAUAGAUGGAUCCGCGCUGCAUUAGCUAGUUGGUAAGGUAACGGCUUACCAAGGCAACGAUGCGUAGCCGACCUGAGAGGGUGAUCGGCCACACUGGAACUGAGACACGGUCCAGACUCCUACGGGAGGCAGCAGAC